rnacentral:rRNA from 2 species
GUUGGGUAGGGGAGCGUUCUGUAAGCCUGCGAAGGUGGCCUGUGAGGGUUGCUGGAGGUAUCAGAAGUGCGAAUGCUGACAUAAGUAACGAUAAAGCGGGUGAAAAGCCCGCUCGCCGGAAGACCAAGGGUUCCUGUCCAACGUUAAUCGGGGCAGGGUGAGUCGACCCCUAAGGCGAGGCCGAAAGGCGUAGUCGAUGGGAAACGGGUUAAUAUUCCCGUACUUGGUGUUACUGCGAAGGGGGGACGGAGAAGGCUAUGUUGGCCGGGCGACGGUUGUCCCGGUUUAAGCGUGUAGGUGUGUGUUCCAGGUAAAUCCGGUUCACUUUAACACUGAGGCGUGACGACGAGGCACUACGGUGCUGAAGCAACAAAUGCCCUGCUUCCAGGAAAAGCCUCUAAGCAUCAGGUAACAUCAAAUCGUACCCCAAACCGACACAGGUGGUCAGGUAGAGAAUACCAAGGCGCUUGAGAGAACUCGGGUGAAGGAACUAGGCAAAAUGGUGCCGUAACUUCGGGAGAAGGCACGCUGACACGUAGGUGAAGUGAUUUACUCAUGGAGCUGAAGUCAGUCGAAGAUACCAGCUGGCUGCAACUGUUUAUUAAAAACACAGCACUGUGCAAACACGAAAGUGGACGUAUACGGUGUGACGCCUGCCCGGUGCCGGAAGGUUAAUUGAUGGGGUCAGCGCAAGCGAAGCUCCUGAUCGAAGCCCCGGUAAACGGCGGCCGUAACUAUAACGGUCCUAAGGUAGCGAAAUUCCUUGUCGGGUAAGUUCCGACCUGCACGAAUGGCGUAAUGAUGGCCAGGCUGUCUCCACCCGAGACUCAGUGAAAUUGAACUCGCUGUGAAGAUGCAGUGUACCCGCGGCAAGACGGAAAGACCCCGUGAACCUUUACUAUAGCUUGACACUGAACAUUGAGCCUUGAUGUGUAGGAUAGGUGGGAGGCUUUGAAGUGUGGACGCCAGUCUGCAUGGAGCCGACCUUGAAAUACCACCCUUUAAUGUUUGAUGUUCUAACGUGGACCCGUAAUCCGGGUUGCGGACAGUGUCUGGUGGGUAGUUUGACUGGGGCGGUCUCCUCCUAAAGAGUAACGGAGGAGCACGAAGGUUGGCUAAUCCUGGUCGGACAUCAGGAGGUUAGUGCAAUGGCAUAAGCCAGCUUGACUGCGAGCGUGACGGCGCGAGCAGGUGCGAAAGCAGGUCAUAGUGAUCCGGUGGUUCUGAAUGGAAGGGCCAUCGCUCAACGGAUAAAAGGUACUCCGGGGAUAACAGGCUGAUACCGCCCAAGAGUUCAUAUCGACGGCGGUGUUUGGCACCUCGAUGUCGGCUCAUCACAUCCUGGGGCUGAAGUAGGUCCCAAGGGUAUGGCUGUUCGCCAUUUAAAGUGGUACGCGAGCUGGGUUUAGAACGUCGUGAGACAGUUCGGUCCCUAUCUGCCGUGGGCGCUGGAGAACUGAGGGGGGCUGCUCCUAGUACGAGAGGACCGGAGUGGACGCAUCACUGGUGUUCGGGUUGUCAUGCCAAUGGCACUGCCCGGUAGCUAAAUGCGGAAGAGAUAAGUGCUGAAAGCAUCUAAGCACGAAACUUGCCCCGAGAUGAGUUCUCCCUGAGACUUAGAGUCUCCUGAAGGAACGUUGAAGACGACGACGUUGAUAGGCCGGGUGUGUAAGCGCAGCGAUGCGUUGAGCUAACCGGUACUAAUGAACCGUGAGGCUUAACCUUACAACGCCGAAG